UACGGAGGGUGCGAGCGUUGUCCGGAAUCAUUGGGCGUAAAGGGCGCGUAGGUGGCCCGGUCAGUCUUUGGUGAAAGCGCGGGGCUCAACCCUGCGUCGGCCAGGGAUACUGCCGCGGCUGGAGCACUGUAGAGGCAGGCGGAAUUCCGGGUGUAGCGGUGGAAUGCGUAGAGAUCCGGAAGAACACCGGUGGCGAAGGCGGCUCACUGGCCCGAUACUGACGCUGAGGUGCGAAAGCGUGGGGAGCAAACAGG
rnacentral:rRNA from 1 species